GAUUGCGAUAAUACCAGCACUAGUACACCGGAUCCCAUCAGAACUCCGCAGUUAAGCGUGCUUGGGCGAGAGUAGUACUAGGAUGGGUACCCCCUCGGAAGUCAUCGUGUUGCAACCC
rnacentral:rRNA from 1 species